CCCUUCAGCAAAUACUCGGGGAUGAUCAACCAGGCCACGCCCUACACCUACCCAGCCCCAAAAUGUCCCUGAGAACACCCCAAACCCUUCAGCAAAUACUCGGGGAUGAUCAACCAGGCCACGCCCUACACCUACCCAGCAAAUACUCGGGGAUGAUCAACCAGGCCACGCCCUACACCUACCCAGCAAAUACUCGGGGAUGAUCAACCAGGCCACGCCCUACACCUACCCAGCAAAUACUCGGGGAUGAUCAACCAGGCCACGCCCUACACCUACCCAGGUACGGAGCUGAAACACCCUGAAAUGGCCCUAAAAAUACCCCCAAAUCAGUGUAAAAAUAGCCCUGAAAACACCCUAAAAUCAGUGUAAAAAUAUCCCCAAAAUAACCCUGAAAACACCCAAAACCCUUCAGCAAAUGCUCGGGGAUGAUCAACCAGGCCACGCCCUACACCUACCCAGGUAGUGAGCUAAAAACACACCAACAUCAGUAUAAAAACACCUCAAAAACAGCCCCAAAAUGUCCC